rnacentral:misc_RNA from 1 species
GAAACUUGCCCGUUGAAUUUGCUGGGCCGUUCGGAAUGACGGUUGGAUCAAUCGUCCGGCUGGAGAUCGCUCUCCGCCGGCGUCGCAUCGACAGGCUGUGCGGGACGAUUUGACCGGACAGCGGGUGUUUCGAUGUCAUCAUCGGCAUUUGCCGGCGACCACGGACGGUCGACACCGCGCGGCUUGUUGGCCGUGAUCGCGUAGCCGUCUGCGGUUUUGCGCAGGGCGAGUGUGCCGCGCCUGCGCAGCAUUUCCUGAUCCAGCACCAUGGCA